rfam:Chickpea chlorotic stunt virus isolate Et-fb-am1, complete genome.
CAGAGAUAGCCGACUAACUAGUUGCGAGAUCGGAGUCUCAGUCUAGUUCAUU